rnacentral:rRNA from 1 species
CAUGCAAGUCGAACGGAAAGGCCCUUUCGGGGGUACACGAGUGGCGAACGGGUGAGUAACACGUGGGUGAUCUGCCCUGCACUUUGGGAUAAGCCUGGGAAACUGGGUCUAAUACCGAAUACACCUUGCUGGUCGCAUGGCCUGGUGGGGGAAAGCUUUUGCGGUGUGGGAUGGGCCCGCGGCCUAUCAGCUUGUUGGUGGGGUGAUGGCCUACCAAGGCGACGACGGGUAGCCGGCCUGAGAGGGUGUCCGGCCACACUGGGACUGAGAUACGGCCCAGACUCCUACGGGAGGCAGCAGUGGGGAAUAUUGCACAAUGGGCGCAAGCCUGAUGCAGUGACGCCGCGUGAGGGAUGACGGCCUUCGGGUGGUAAACCUCUUUCAGUACCGACGAAGCGGAAGUGACGGUAGGUACAGAAGAAGCACCGGCCAACUACGUGCCAGCAGCCGCGGUAAUACGUAGGGUGCGAGCGUUGUCCGGAAUUACUGGGCGUAAAGAGCUUGUAGGUGGUUUGUCGCGUUGUUCGUGAAAACUCACA